CGUUCAUGUAGGCAAAGGAUGUGCUGAGGGCAAUGAGCACCAGGCAGAUACUGCUGCCACCCUGUAGGACCUUUGCUCAGGGUGGGUCCCUGUUUUGCUGCUCUUGUCUUUGAAUUCAUACCUGAGGCUCCCUGCCUGGAAGAGCCUAAGUCUGUUUAUUUAACGUGGGGCUAAAACAGUUUAUUUGCACUUUUCAAUAUUAAAGGGAUUUGGGAGCAAUUGUCCACCUGUUUUUAAGUCUAAUGGCAAUUCUGUUUCACACUGUUAUCAUUUUUACCCUAUUUAUUAUCAUAACUGAAGAGGUGACUCCAGCUGGUCUUUGAUCUCGCAGCUGUUUGUUACCAUCUCCCAGCUAAGAGGCAGCUACCUGCCAUAUAAUCACUCUUAGUGUUUCUGAGAGUAAAGUCACACAAACUUAAAUUGCUGCUGAAGGUUUCCUUUUUUUUUUUUUUUUUCAUUUUGUCGUCACAGGUGCAAGGAGUGUUUGUACAGUUGUUCAUGCCUGUCAGCUGAGAGGAAAUAAACACCCUCUGGGAAACAGUUGGGAGCAGAUUUUAAACCUCUUUGCCACUGGCAUGGCCACGUGACUGCUCCAUAUCCUCAUCAUUGCAAGGAACCAAAUGUUUGACGUGCAUCAAGGCCAAGUAUGUGGUUAUUGACUUCAGAGCCUUUUGAAUUGGUGCUGCAAAUAACACCAUUAUCCCAAGUGGCCCAAGCAUCUCUUUUAUCUGCAUGCUUUCAGCAUUCAUCUACAUUCCUCUGAAAAUGCAAGUUUAGCUUUGCUCUCAUUUACUUCUGGAAGAAGGUGAGAUCACAAGGUAUUUAUUUAUAGAUAAAUAUAGAUAUUUAUAGCUAUAUUAACACAAAAUGUACCUUUCAUUUCACACAAAUAUUCAGAAGAGGAAGUGGAAUACUCUGCCAAACACACUAAAGUUUUUGCCAUUUAAUGGCAGUCUGAGAGAAGAAAAAUUUUAUUUUUUUAUUUCAUUUAAUUUUCAUCUGAUUUAGUUCUCAUCUGUGAUGGCUGAUUAUUUCAAAAUAAUUCUACUUCCAGGUCACGGAAUUUAUGAAUAAAAGAUGUUCAUGUGCACGGCCUAGGUCAGGUGUCACAACUCAGUGCAGAUACCCUCA